rnacentral:rRNA from 1 species
UAGUCUGGUGCCAGCAGCCGCGGUAAUUCCAGCUCCAAUAGCGUAUAUUAAAGUUGUUGCAGUUAAAACGCUCGUAGUCGGAUUUCGGGGCAGGUUUGCCGNUCUGCCGAUGGGUAUGCACUGGUAGAAGUGUCCUUCCUUCCGGAGACGGCGCCUACUCUUAACUGAGCGGGUGUCGGAGACGGAUCGUUUACUUUGAAAAAAUCAGAGUGUUUCAAGCAGGCAGCUCGCUUUUGCAUGGAUUAGCAUGGGAUAAUGAAAUAGGACUUUGGUGCUAUUUUGUUGGUUUCGAACACCGAAGUAAUGAUUAACAGGGACAGUCAGGGGCACUCGUAUUCCGCCGAGAGAGGUGAAAUUCUUAGACCAGCGGAAGACGAACCACUGCGAAAGCAUUUGCCAGGGAUGUUUUCACUGAUCAAGAACGAAAGUUAGGGGAUCGAAGACGAUCAGAUACCGUCGUAGUCUUAACCAUAAACCAUGCCGACUAGGGAUUGGAGGAUGUUCCUAUGUGACUCCUUCAGCACCUUUCGGGAAACUAAAGUCUUUGGGUUCCGGGGGGAGUAUGGUCGCAAGGCUGAAACUUAAAGGAAUUGACGGAAGGGCACCACCAGGAGUGGAGCCUGCGGCUUAAUUUGACUCAACACGGGGAAACUUACCAGGUCCAGACAUUGUGAGGAUUGACAGAUUGAGAGCUCUUUCUUGAUUCGAUGGGUGGUGGUGCAUGGCCGUUCUU